rnacentral:misc_RNA from 1 species
UGGUGGUGGUGGUGGUGGUGAUGAUCAAUGUUUUGAUGGUCUCGGAGGAUUUUUUUGUUGAUGGGUUAUGAUAGGAUUCAUGGGAUUUUGAUUAUAAUGGAAACGAGAUUGAAGUCUGUUAUGGUCUCUUUCUUGGUUUCUCUCCAUGGGUUUGAAUAUUCGGUUUCUUGAUUCUGGUGAACGCAAAGUUUGAAUCUUUAGAGCUAAAUUGUUAAUGGGAUGCGAGAGAUUUACUUCCUUUAGUUCUGGAAGGUGCUUGCUUGAAUUCGAGCCUUCUUCUUCGAUUCAGCUGAUGAAGAACACGAAGAUAAAAAGGUUCGGCUGAGGAGUUCUUUUUUUUUUUUUUU